UAGGGAAUCUUCCACAAUGGGCGAAAGCCUGAUGGAGCAACGCCGCGUGUGUGAUGAAGGGUUUCGGCUCGUAAAACACUGUUGUAAGAGAAGAAUGACAUUGAGAGUAACUGUUCAAUGUGUGACGGUAUCUUACCAGAAAGCCACGGCUAACUACGUGCCAC
rnacentral:rRNA from 1 species